rnacentral:rRNA from 1 species
AUUGAACGCUGGCGGCAUGCCUUACACAUGCAAGUCGAACGGUAACAGGUCUUCGGACGCUGACGAGUGGCGAACGGGUGAGUAAUACAUCGGAACGUGCCCAGUCGUGGGGGAUAACUACUCGAAAGAGUAGCUAAUACCGCAUACGAUCUGAGGAUGAAAGCGGGGGACCUUCGGGCCUCGCGCGAUUGGAGCGGCCGAUGGCAGAUUAGGUAGUUGGUGGGAUAAAAGCUUACCAAGCCGACGAUCUGUAGCUGGUCUGAGAGGACGACCAGCCACACUGGGACUGAGACACGGCCCAGACUCCUACGGGAGGCAGCAGUGGGGAAUUCUGGACAAUGGGCGAAAGCCUGAUCCAGCAAUGCCGCGUGCAGGAUGAAGGCCUUCGGGUUGUAAACUGCUUUUGUACGGAACGAAAAAGCUCCUUCUAAUACAGGGGGCCCAUGACGGUACCGUAAGAAUAAGCACCGGCUAACUACGUGCCAGCCGCCGCCGUAA